UAGCAUUGAGGUCCCCCGCUAGUAUCAC
rnacentral:sRNA from 1 species